GCCAGAUGCGGUGGCGCACACCUAUAAUCCCAGUGGCUCAGGAGGCUGAGGCAGGAGGAUCUUGAGCUCAAGGCCAGCCUUAGCCACUUAACGAGGCCCUAAGCAACUCAGCAAGAUCCUAUCUCAA
rnacentral:sRNA from 1 species